GAAGCUGCGUUCGCGCAUGCGUGGUCCUAGAGCUACGGUGACACUUCGCGUGAUGUGUAGGCGCAUCUUUGCUCUGUUGGCCGUGGCUUUAGUAAGCACACACCUGCCUGCUACUCUGGUUAUCGUGGCGACGGCAGGUCUGGAUUGCCAGACAGGUUUUUCUUUUUACCUCGAGGCUUUCUCUGAAGGGAGUCGGAGCAUUUAAAAGGCGGCCUCAAGGUGGAUUGAGUCGGGGGAGGAUUAGCAGUAUUUGCUUAGGUUGUAAAACCGCGACUUUAUCUAAUAAAUCGCCAUUCAAGGUGCAAAUACAAACUUGGAACAGAGAUGAUCUGCCUCUGAAACCUUCCGUGGGCACAGAAAUUUCUGCAAGGAAAGCAUCAGCAACCAGAAUAAUUUGGUGAGGAAGAUUUGGCACAGAAUACCCUGACUGAGGUAUUGCUCCAAAAGGAGCAAUCCUUUGGGGUUAGGAGUCAAUUAUUAGGUGCCUACAAAACACUCUGUUAUUUCGACUAAACAUGCCUUGCUGUCAAGGAGAAGAAAGAACUGUGCACUGAAAACCAGAACAGCCAAAAGAGAAUGUGGCUGUGGUCAUGGGAAAGGUCUUUGAAUAACAGGGAAAAGGAGACAGGGCAGUUGAAGGAAGGAUAAGAAAAGGCUACUUCCUAGCAGGAAUUAAUAAACUAAUGUUUUUAUUAUUUAAUAGAAACCCAUUCCUUUGUUUCAAAUAAGGCAGACAUAAGUUAGGAUUGGAUGUAGCUAUAUAGAUCCCUAUUUCUGGCACAGGCUGAUAGCAAUAAAGGAAGUCAGAACACAACCCCACUCUCACCCACAUCCCACUUUGCAAAAACCAUGACCCAAAUGCCUCUGUAGAUACUGGGCUGUGGACUGCUGGCAAAGCCUCAGGAGCCUUUGCUGUACUGAGUGAUCUACCUUUAGAUUGACAGCAGCGGCUGUGGAGUAACAUCUGAAUGUUGAUUGACAGUGCAGUUUGUGGGAAUAAAGCAGGGAGGGAAACCCUUUAACCAGUUUCCAUUUCUUGGUGUCUUAAAGUUUUCAUCUUACUAAAGAAUCAAACCGUGGUGUAAUCCAGAGGAAGAGCAUCCCUCAUCCUGGCAGCCCUGCUAUACCACAUCUGCCUAUCCAUAGUGAAAGACACCAUAUUUUUAAGAAAAUAUGAAAUGCAGAGAUGAAAACUAUUUUAGAGCAAAUGAUUUUAAAUAAAAAGAAGGUUGCAUACUCAUUUUAAAUGAUUUUAAUUUUCUGAAUAUUAUGUUCCAACUCAAGAUAUUGCACAAUGCUUUAAUAUUACACUUGUUAUUUUUCUCACACUAGUGAGAUUUUGAUAAACAUAGUUGACUUUGGAAGUAACAGAGAAUGUUUUCAUUGGUUAAAUAAUUUCAAUGACCUGUGAGGAACUGAAAGCAAGCUAUUACAUUCAUAUAAAAGAUAAGUACAUAUCCAUAAAUUCACUUGGAUUCAAUGAAAAAUAAUAAACUUCUCAUGUACUUAAUAAAACUUAAAGGAAAUAAAAUUUUAAAUGGUGCAAAAAUAGAAUGUAUUUCUUAAAGUUUCGAAAACCCUUAGACCUAAAAGAAUUCUAAGAAUAUUUGGCCACAUUAUAAGCCUCUUAUUUGUAAAAGCUAACACUUGAUAAUUUUAAAACAAAAUCUAAAUUAAAUAAAUAUAGUUCUGCAUUAUUAAAGUAACAAAAUCUAUUAUGGUAAGGUAAAAUUUCCCUAAAUAAUAUAAACAAAAAACAACACCAGAAAGCAAAUGUAUCACGUUAUGGCAUCGAUAAACAUUUCUGUUCAAAUGUAUGGAUCUACAGCAUUUUCUCUAGGUAACACACACAGUUGUUAUCACAUUAUUAUGGAAUAAAUGCUGAAAAAUUAAGAAAAAAAUACUAAUGGUUACUAGGCCAAAGUCAAUUCCAAAAAACUCAAUUCUUAUAAACUUUUAUUAUAGUGAUUUUUACUGUAUUACAACACUUUUUUUCUCUUUUUGCUUUGUGAUUCAUAUUUUUAGCAGAGGCAUAGCACUGGAGAUAAAGAAGGGGAAAUAUGCCUCAGGUGGCAGUUGUGUUUUUUUAACUUCCAUUUUGCACUUUUGCUAUUUUUAGACUUGUUGCUCAUCAGAUUCAUUAACACACCCUACUUUUGCUAUGUUUUUUUUCUUCAUUUCCAGGAAAACUCAACGACAGCAUUAGGAGAAAAGGCAAAAACUUUACAUUGCCUGAUACACCACUUAUUCUUGCUCUGCCACUGAUUUGUAGUAGCUGUGUAUUACUGCAUAGCGUUGUUGUCUCUAUUAACGCUUAGAGAUUCCACACCAUGAAUUUUUUUAUGGUCAUCCUAAGAUACAAUGAAUUCUUCACAUUUUGUGAAAAUUAUAGGCAUCUGACAGCUGGUGUAUUUAUCUACCAUCUUCAUCAAACUCGAAUAUUUUAUAAAAUACUUGAGAAAAGAUCUCUACCAAAGAUACCCUCAUGAAACACUCUCUUAUCAAAAAGAAAAGGGUAAAAUUAUGGAUUAGUUCAAUUGUACCUUGAACUAGAAAUGCUGAUUAUGAUUAUAUUUCGGAAAACAGUUAUAAUUAUUUCAUUAAAAAUGAUUCCCAUUUAGAAUGAUGACUGGAGACUUAUUUACAAGAAAAGAUAGAGAAAUUUUAUGAGCCUAGGAUUGUGCCAGGAUUGCCUGUGAGGGCAGUUUUUUCAAUUGCAUAUGCAUGUUGAGAUGGGACUAUUUAUGAUCUUAUUUCCUUAUUCAUUAGAGAAGGAGAUGACCAGUGUUUUAUGGGGUUUUUUUGGUUAAUUUUGCAUAUUCUCUUAUUUCAAAAUUAAUCUAAUUAAUUUUAUUCAUGUGUCACCCAGAUUGCAUUUGGGUUUAAACAGAGGACUUAAUCAUAGCAUGGACAGAAAAAGCUCACCAUCUAUCUAAAUGACUUUGAUUGCACCAUCAUCCUCAUUGUUCUUGUAAGUUCCAAAUUCACUAUAAAUCUGGGGAAAAAAAACCUUCAAAUCCAAAUAUACAUACAUUUCUUAUAGUAUUUUAAUUUAAAUCAAGAAGUAUUUAAAAUCUUAUCCUCUAACAUUUUCACUAUUAGUAUAAUAAAAUUCCCACAAGUUGAGAAAGUUAUUUGCUUCAAAUACUAAUCUAAUAUAUCAAAUAAUUUUGCCAUCAGAGGUACAAACAUUGGCAAAUAGGAUACUUAACUGUGAGUCAAAAAAUAUAACAGUACUAACUAAAACACUUUUCUAAUUGAAAAUGUCAUUACAGUCAACAUUUUCAGAAAACAAAACCCAGUAACAAUUCUAAAAAAUCACACAUACACACUCCAGUUUUCUUAGUAACCAAAAUUCUGGAAGGUUAUGUGAUGUUUUCACAAUCAUUCAAGCUAUGGCAAGCCUACUGUAACAUUUCUUUUACUUUAAAAAAUUAAAAAUAAUUUUAACAUCAUAUAAUUUAUAAUACAUGUUGAAAAUGAUUUGCCAAUUCCCCAAGGUGUAACUUAAAACCUUCCAAGGUUACAUAGGGGAGGAAGUCCAUCAUUAAUUUUUCUAUUCCAGAGACUCAGUUUGGAUGCCCGUGUGUGGGCUUCUAAAGCUGAGCACAACCUGUGAGCUAGAGAAAUGGGCCAGCAGUCCUCCUUGUGUGGCUUUUAGUUAUCCUUGUGACACUCAGAAGCAUUCUCUCUUUAAUUUCAGUAAAGUUACAUGAUAAAUGACUUCCACAUUCAGAAACUGAUGUGUCAACUCUUAAUUUAUCUUUAAAGUUAUCUUUAAAGACCUUACUAAAAACAUGUCCAUAUUAACAGCCUUUAAAAAAAAAAGUAUAUUACCAGGGUUUCAAGUAGACUUUAGAUGCACAUUUUCACAUAAACCUAAAUUCAACAGUAGCUCUGACGUUGAGAUUUGAGUAAUGCAUGUUGUGCUUUUUAUCUUCAAAGAAUAUAUUCUCUGACCUACCUGUAGUUAUGAAAA